AAGUCGUAACAAGGUUUCCGUAGGUGAACCUGCGGAAGGAUCAUUAACACGUAUCCAAACGUUAAAACAACCCUGUGAAUAUUAACGCGUGUUCUUGCUUGACACCAAAACAGCAAUCUCUCGUAAAACAGGCGCUAAAGAAUUACAGAUAUUGAUUUGAGAGAAUUCUGUCAGUCGGUGGACGUUGCAAUUGAUCUAUCACCAAUGUCUGAAAGUGUCAAGUGAUGGUCAGGGUAACGCAGUCAACGAUCGCUGUAGGUCCUCACGACCGGCGACCGGGGUGGAGGCUAACCGCCCUUACGUCACCCCUAUGUACCCUCCGGGACUUGGCGAAAGCUGACUCCGUCAUAAAUCGAACAACUGUUAACAAUGGAUAUCUUGGUUCUC
rnacentral:misc_RNA from 1 species